AGUAGGUGGCAAUUUUUAUUGCAUAAUAGGGAAUCAGGUGCAAAACCUGAACGGUCACGCCGCUGUAAUGUGGAGUAGUUUUACAUUAACCCACUGUAUUAGUGAUAGAAGUUACUUUUUUACAAAUAAUCAUAAUAAGAAGUAAUUUUUGAUAAUAUGGGAAGGGGUAGAAUUACAAGGAAACUAAGUCAGAAAACCUGCCUGUCUCUA
rnacentral:ncRNA from 1 species